rnacentral:rRNA from 1 species
UACAGAGGUCCCAAGCGUUGUUCGGAUUCACUGGGCGUAAAGGGUGCGUAGGUGGUGGAGUAAGUCUGAUGUGAAAUCUCCGAGCUCAACUCGGAAAUGGCAUUGGAAACUACUUUGCUAGAGGAUUGGAGGGGAGACUGGAAUUCUUGGUGUAGCAGUGAAAUGCGUAGAUAUCAAGAGGAACACCGGUGGCGAAAGCGAGUCUCUGGACAAUUCCUGACACUGAGGCACGAAAGCUAGGGGAGCAAACAGGAUUAGAAACCCUAGUAGUCC